rnacentral:rRNA from 1 species
CCUACGGGGUGCAGCAGUGAGGAAUAUUGGUCAAUGGCCGGAAGGCUGAACCAGCCAUGCCGCGUGAAGGUCAGUGCCCUAUGGGCGUUAAACUUCUUUUGUCGGAGAACAAAACCCGGGACGUGUCCCGGACUUCGUGUAUCCGAAUAAAAAGCAUCGGCUAACUCCGUUCCAGCAGCCGCGGUAAUACGGAGGAUGCGAGCGUUAUCCGGAUUUUUUGGGUUUAAAGGGUGCGUAGGCGGUCCGUUAAGGCAGCGGUAAAAUUGCGGGGCUCAACCCCGUCGAGCCGUUGAAACUGGCAGACUUGAGUUGGCGAGAAGUACGCGGAAUGCGCGGUGUAGCGGUGAAAUGCAUAGAUAUCGCGCAGAACUCCGAUUGCGAAGGCAGCGUACCGGCGCCAGACUGACGCUGAGGCACGAAAGCGUGGGGAUCGAACAGGAUUAGAUACCCUAGUAGUC